GCGGCGAAGAGGUCACACCCGUUCCCAUGCCGAACACGGAAGUUAAGCUCUUCAGCGCCGAUGGUAGUCGGGGGUUUCCCCCUGUGAGAGUAGGACGCCGCCAAGC
rnacentral:rRNA from 1 species